rnacentral:lncRNA from 1 species
GAGCCCCAAAAAAUAAAGUCAGCCACUUUUUCCACUGUUUCCCCAUCUAUUUCCCAUGAAGUGAUGGGACCAGAUGCCAUGAUCUUAGUUUUCUGAAUGUUGAGUUUUUGUGUUUUUUUUUUUUUGAAGAAGUCAUAAACGACAUUUAUUACCUUGCUAUAUCAUACUGGUCUUAUUGCUGUUCCUUCACAUAUCAGCGGUUUUCCGUCUUCCUCCCUCCACCCACAGUCUGGCUACACAGUGCCUUCUUGAACGGCUAGUUCACAGCAGCAAUAAGAUUUUUUCCACACCUCUAAGGCCAUUCAUUCACAAAGUCACAGUUCUGGUCCACAAACCCUUCCCUGUAGGAGGUUCAACGCCUGCGAAAGAAUUUGUAAUAAACCAGGCCUCCCAGAAUGGCUAGCUCCAGUAAGACGACGACGGAAAGCAGCAGCUUGUUGGUUGCCACUUCUACUCUUGGUACGUUCCAACUGGUCACGUUGCUCCCCCAGCUCUUCUAUGAUUUGAGCCAAUCUGGUCAGUCUCUGCGGCAAUACGAUGAGAACGCUCAAUACUCUGGGUGGCCCAGUUCAGGCUGUCAGUGCCUUGCAGAAGCAAUGUCCUUUGAGACUGUAGCCAAUUCAUAUGCUCAUUCUCCACAGCGUAUGUACCAUAUUUCAUGUCUCCUCGGGCCCAAGGAGUGGCUGUCAAAGGCGUACUUCUCACUUCCCGAUGGAGUUUAGCAAGGUCCUUUUGGUAGGUUCGAAGCUUAGACAUCAUAGGGUUACGAAAAGAUAGGGGAGCGUAACGUAGUUCCUCUUCCAUCUCUGCCAGCGUUUCAUUUGCUUCCUGUUGCUUUUCAUCGAAAUCUCUGAUCAACUUCUUCUUCUCUUCUGUCCCUGCCAUCCCCAGGAGCCGCUCCGGCACCCCCUCGUAGGUCUUCAUGGAGGCCGCGGAAGAUCUCGUGCAGUUUCUCGAAAUGCUCUGAGGAGGCGGCGGAGGUGGCCAUGGCGCAGGCCACUUUCGAGCAGCAGGCGCCCAAAUUCUGGGCCCAGGGCCUGUUCCCACUCCUGAAUGUUGAGUUUUAAGCUAACUUUUUCACUCUUCUCUUUCACUUUCAUCAACAGGCUUUUUAGUUCCUCUUCA